AACGAACGCUGGCGGCGUGCUUAACACAUGCAAGUCGAACGGAAAGGCCCUGCUUUUGUGGGGUGCUCGAGUGGCGAACGGGUGAGUAACACGUGAGUAACCUGCCCUUGACUUUGGGAUAACUUCAGGAAACUGGGGCUAAUACCGGAUAGGAGCUCCUGCUGCAUGGUGGGGGUUGGAAAGUUUCGGCGGUUGGGGAUGGACUCGCGGCUUAUCAGCUUGUUGGUGGGGUAGUGGCUUACCAAGGCUUUGACGGGUAGCCGGCCUGAGAGGGUGACCGGCGACCUUGGGACUGAGAUACGGCCCAGACUCCUACGGGCGGCAGCAGUGGGGAAUAUUGCACAAUGGGCGGAAGCCUGAUGCAGCAACGCCGCGUGCGGGAUGACGGCCUUCGGGUUGUAAACCGCUUUCGCCUGUGACGAAGCGGGAGUGACGGUAAUGGGUAAAGAAGCACCGGCUAACUACGUG
rnacentral:rRNA from 1 species